CUGCUCUGUUCGCAGUUUCUCAGAUUAAGUAAAACCAUCAUCACUCGUAAAGCUUCGCUGGGAGACAUGCUGCGAAAUAUGAGCAUCUGGGUCAUAUUAGCCUUUCUCUCCAAACUUACGGAUGCCUGCAUAGGUGGAAAGGGGACCGAAAUAUAUCCACAAAUCGACAAGUACGAAGGCUGUCCUGAUCACCCUGAGAUGUGCGAAACUAGAUGCCGCAUUUAUAUGUCCUCUAAGGGAAAGUGCGACCGGGAGUAUCCGAAGAGAUGCAUCUGCUACUGAACAUCAAGACGAAUAUGCGUUCAAUUCAUAAUUAAAUCACCUAGAUGUGAAUAAAU